rnacentral:rRNA from 1 species
CGGUGACGAUAGCAAGGAGGUCACACCUGUUCCCAUACCGAACACAGUAGUUAAGCUCCUUAGCGCUGAAGAUACUUGGCGGGUGACUGCCCGGGAAAUUAAGACGUUGCCG